rnacentral:rRNA from 1 species
CUACGGGUCGCACCAGUGGGGAAUAUUGGACAAUGGGGGAAACCCUGAUCCAGCAAUGCCGCGUGUGUGAAGAAGGCCUGCGGGUUGUAAAGCACUUUCGGUUGGGAGGACUGCUUCUAGCACUAAUAUUGUUGGAAGUUGACGUUACCUUCAGAAGAAGCACCGGCUAACUCCGUGCCAGCAGCCGCGGUAAUACGGAGGGUGCAAGCGUUAAUCGGAAUUACUGGGCGUAAAGCGCGCGUAGGCGGCUAGAUCAGUCGGGUGUGAACGCCCCGGGCUUAACCUGGGAACUGCAUCCGAUACUGUCUAGCUUGAGUACAGGAGAGGAGAGUGGAAUUCCACAUGUAGCGGUGAAAUGCGUAGAUAUGUGGAGGAACACCAAUGGCGAAGGCAGCUCUCUGGCCUGAUACUGACGCUGAGGUGCGAAAGCGUGGGGAGCAAACAGUAUUAGAUACCCCAGUAGUC